GACGAGGGGUCCAAGCGUUGUUCGGAAUCAUUGGGCGUAAAGCGGGUGUAGGCGGCUCUAUAAGUCAGAAGUGAAAGCCCCGGGCUUAACCUGGGAAGUGCUUUUGAUACUGCAGAGCUUGAAUGUGGGAGAGGGUAGUGGAAUUCCAGGUGUAGUGGUGAAAUACGUAGAUAUCUGGAGGAACACCGGUGGCGAAGGCGGCUACCUGGCCCAACAUUGACGCUGAGACCCGAAAGCAUGGGGAUCAAACAGGGA
rnacentral:rRNA from 1 species